UUGGCUACCAGGUCAGCUAGAGAAAGACCAUCAGGUAGGGGCAGGGUUAGGCAUGUCUGAGCUCAGGCUCGCCUUUGGUGAGGCUUGCUGUGGCUGCUGUGGGGGCUGGGAGUGUGGUUCCCAGGCCAAUGGAGUUAUGUUCCCAGGGGAAUUAUGGUUGCUUCUGCUGUGUCACACAGGUCACUAGGGAAGUGGGGGAAAGCCGGCAGUCACAGGUCUCACCCAGAUCCCAUGCAGCCCACAGCCUGAAAGGCUGGUCUCACUCCCAAGGUGCUCCCCCGCCCCCACCGCCCGCCAGCAGCAGCGAGUUUAUUUCUAGGUAGCCGGUGAGCAGGGCUGAGAAUGUUCUGCAGGCUCCAAGCCUCUCAGCUGAGAAAGCAAGCAAACUCACAGUUCCUCAGUUGUCCCACAGAGCCUGCAGCAGCAAUCCACCUCCCUCAAAGGGUCUGUGGAUUCUUUCAGCUUUCCUGGUAUGUUCUUGUGGCAGUUCUUAGAGCAAAAGUUCAUGGUGUGUGUCUACACAUGCCACUCUGUCCGACCUAGUGGGGGCUGCAAGUUAGUUUUGCCUCCUAUCCGCCAUUUUCCCUCUAUUGGAAGUACACUUGAAGUGAGAGUACCUUUGGAAAAGAUUGGUGACUCUUGGAACUGGGUGAGGAACUGGGUAGGUAACCACAAUUGAGCCCUUGGCAAUCUAAGCUUCCAUGGAUCAUCUUUCUUCUGCCCAGGAAGAAAAUACUUCAGGGAUCUUAACCCAAAAGCAUGGAGGUCCACACCAUCCUCCAGGAUACUACAGUUGACAACUGGAUCCCAUCUCCUGUGGAUUCCCUCUCUGCCUAAGAGCAGUCCCCGCUGCAUCCUUGUUAGUCAAGGCGACUGAGGAGAUAGUCAUGGGAUUCCUCCCUGACUGUGUUUUUUCCUCAUGCCAUGGAAGCCGUUUUACACACUCAUCACACUUGGCAUUUUUCUGCUAGCGGACUAACCUCCUAUGAACCUCUUCUACUUACUAUUCAUCAUAUUAUUCAAUCAUGCUGCAAUAACCUUAACCCUGUGGCUCUCUGGACCUCUCCAUCAGAUGAAACACCACAUGGCUGCUUAACUCUGACAGACCAGCUUUUAAUUCCUUGGGAGCAAUUCCUGUGGACAAUGCUGAGUUGUCCUGGUUUACAGAUGGCUCACAUUUAAAGAAUGAGUCUGGCAAGUAUUGUGCAGGCUGUGCAGUCGUGACUUCCUUUGAGAUUGUGAAAGCAGCUCAUUUACUAUUAACUACUUCAGCCCAGCAGGCAGAUCUGUUUGCCCUCGCUUGAGCCUGACUCCUUGCUACAGGAAAGACAAUGUUUAUGUAAGCAGCAGG
rnacentral:lncRNA from 10 species